rnacentral:rRNA from 1 species
CCAGACUCCUACGGGAGGCAGCAGUGGGGAAUAUUGGGCAAUGGGCGCAAGCCUGACCCAGCAACGCCGCGUGAAGGAAGAAGGCUUUCGGGUUGUAAACUUCUUUUAAGAGGGAAGAGAAGAAGACGGUACCCCUUGAAUAAGCCACGGCUAACUACGUGCCAGCAGCCGCGGUAAUACGUAGGUGGCAAGCGUUGUCCGGAUUUACUGGGUGUAAAGGGCGUGUAGCCGGGCUGACAAGUCAGAUGUGAAAUCCGGGGGCUCAACCCCCGAACUGCAUUUGAAACUGUUGGUCUUGAGUAUCGGAGAGGCAGGCGGAAUUCCUAGUGUAGCGGUGAAAUGCGUAGAUAUUAGGAGGAACACCAGUGGCGAAGGCGGCCCGCUGGACGACAACUGACGGUGAGGCGCGAAAGCGUGGGGAGCAAACAGGAUUAGAUACCCUUGUAC